rnacentral:tRNA from 1 species
ACUGUUUUGGCAGAUUAGUGCUUUAAAUUUAGAAUUUAAAUAUGUAUUUAUAUACAAGCAGUA